CUCAAUUUGGGAAGGGACAUCACUCUCAAUCAGGAUUUCCGCGCGGUGUUUUCUUGAAAUCUUGUUAGUUGUUAAGUCGUAUUGUUUCAUCUCAUCGCUCAACCUGUCUUGAUCUGCGGCAAAAAUAAUCCACACUCGUCUGCUGCUAUGUCAAAGAAAAGUCCUGUUAAAUACGUUUCACUCAAAGAUGCCAGCGGCCGAUGUAAUGUCUUCGGAGUUGUUCAGUUCUGCAAACAGCCAGUUAAGACAAAAGGAACAGAUUACCUCAUGACUAUAAGCAUCACUGACCAGAGCCUGGCUGCUGGAGAUAAGCUUGUCUGCCUCAUAUUUCAUCCAUCUUUAGAAGCUUUACCACGUCUGACUGCUGGUGAUGUGAUCCGUUUUCACAGGCUUAAAAUUGGAACUUUCAAUGACAAACCUCAGGGAGAAGCUAAGUGUACUCUGGGUUGUUCCUGGUUGGUGUUUGGAGCAGACACUGAGCAGCUGCAGUCAUCAAGUAAAAAUUUCUCAUGCACAGAUGAUGAUAGGCAAAAGGCAAAGGAGCUUCAGGCAUGGGCAGCCACACGAGAUUUGUUUUGUAACAGCUCCAUCGGGACACUGGCCACCAUCGUGCCAGGGAAGUAUUGUGAUCUCAUUUGUCAAGUACUGGGUACGUGUGUUGAAGAAGAAGGCAGCUGUUUUGUGGCCCGGGUGUGGGAUGGCACAAAGCUAGUACACCCCUGUGUGUCCACACAGAAAGAUAUGACCUCCACCUGCAAGGAGCUUCAGCAGCUGGACAGCAGUUUUCUUGCUGAUGUGUGGUUCUAUGAUGACCACUUCCUUACUUAUCUUGACAUGAAGCCAGCUCAGUUUAUAAAGCUCUGUAACUUGCAUGCCGCCAUAAGCAAAGACCCUGACACAGGGCAGCCAUUUACAAAUACUACUGUAGUGGAACUUGUGAUACAUCGAGGCACGUCAUAUGGCCGAGGCAUAGUGUUCCUGAGCAACGACUCACCAGAAGUGCAGUGCCUAAAGAAGAGGAUGAAGGAAAUCUCAGGACCAGAAAGCACUGACACAUGCAUCAUUAAUGGCUCUGAGAAGAUUCAAAGUUGUGGAGACGAAGGCUGCAAUAGAACCACGGGUGAGAUAGACACAAACAUCAAACAGACAAGACCUUCAGCUGCAGCAACAAGAGGCCAGGGGGAAGAAACUUCUGAAAAUGCUCCCAGACCAGGAUGUAGUCACUGGGACAAUGCAGUCUCUCAAUCUUCGCCUCAGUAUGCUUCUACAGAUCAGAAUUCCAAAAUAUUUAACAAUGAAAAUACUUUAAAAAUGAAUUCAUUAGGAAUCGACAGGAUCCAUUCUGAUAGGGUUGAAAGAAAAGAGAUGGAAAAUACAACACUCAGGCAGGGUAGUAAAAGAAAGCCUAUGGCUACAAAGUCAGACUAUGAACAGGUGGUUGCAAGUGGGUUGACAACACAAAAAGACAGUUUUUGUAGAGAUGAACAGGAAAGUUCAGAGAUUUUGCCAGAUGUCAUUGUCAUCAGCUCUGGAAGCACAGACUCAGAAAAGCAUGCUUCACUAAAUCAAAGCAACUCUAUGGAAGUUGUGAUGGCAGAGCCAUCACUUUCUGAAUAUGGAUUGUUGGAUACAUGUAAUAGCCAAUCUUUAGAGUCUGAUAGUAACCAAUCAUUGUACAAUGAGUCCAUCCAAAGCUGUUUUUCUCUCCCUUCCCCUGGCGAUGUGUGUAUGCUUCAGACUGCAACAGUGAUUACAGGACAUCGCCAUAUAAACAGGACAUCUCUGCGAGAAAUUUUGGACUACAGAGUUCCAUACAAAUUUCGUGUUCUGGCCUGGCUUGUAGACUUUUAUCCAAAUACUACAGAUGUGUAUGACUUUGUCCAGGAGCUGUGUCCUAGAUGUAAGAUUCUGAAAAAGAUUGGAAGGGAGGACUCAGAACAGAAAAAGAGAAAGAAAGAUGUGAGAGUUGUAUCAUCUGUAACAAGAAUGCUUGGGUGGAGACUUUGGCAACUGGAAUUUUGAAGUUGAGUUAAAUGACAGGGAAGUCAAACUGUGCUCUCAGUGCAGUACAGAGGAGGAACCUGUACCAGUAGAGCUGACCUAUGUUCUGAGGAUGGUGUUGACAGACAGCAGUAAUUGCUUCUUACCUGUAAACUUGUGGCAAGAGAACGCA
rnacentral:misc_RNA from 1 species